GACGAACGCUGGCGGCGUGCCUAAUACAUGCAAGUCGAACGCACAGUUUAUACCGUAGCUUGCUACACCAUAGACUGUGAGUUGCGAACGGGUGAGUUACGCGUAGGUAACCUGCCUGGUAGCGGGGGAUAACUAGUGGAAACGCUAGCUAAUACCGCAUACUAUUGAUUAUUGCAUGAUAAUUUAUUGAAAGUUGCUAUUGCCUCACUACCAGUUGGACCUGCGUUGUAUUAGCUAGUAGGUGAGGUAACGGCUCACCUAGGCGACGAUACAUAGACGACCUGAGAGGGUGAUCGGCCAGACUGGGACUGAGACACGGCCCAGACGCCUACGGGAGGCAGCAGUAGUGAAUCUGGGGCAAUGGACGAAAGUCUGACCGAGCAACGCCGAGUGAGGGAAGAAGGUCGCCGGGUCGUAAAGCUCUGUUGUAGGAGAGGAACGGGUGUGAGAGUGGAAAGUUCACACUGUGACGGUAACGGACCAGAAAGGGACGGCUAACUACGUG
rnacentral:rRNA from 1 species